CCUACGGGAGGCAGCAGUGGGGAAUAUUGCACAAUGGGGGAAACCCUGAUGCAGCGACGCCGCGUGAGUGAAGAAGUCUUUCGGUAUGUAAAGCUCUAUCAGCAGGGAAGAUAAUGACGGUACCUGAGUAAGAAGCCCCGGCUAACUACGUGCCAGCAGCCGCGGUAAUACGUAGGGGGCAAGCGUUAUCCGGAUUUACUGGGUGUAAAGGGAGCGUAGACGGCAUGGCAAGUCUGAAGUGAAAGGCGGGGGCUCAACCGCGGGACUGCUUUGGAAACUGUUUAGCUGGAGUGCAGGAGAGGUAAGUGGAAUUCCUAGUGUAGCGGUGAAAUGCGUAGAUAUUAGGAGGAACACCAGUGGCGAAGGCGGCUUACUGGACUGUAACUGACGUUGAGGCUCGAAAGCGUGGGGAGCAAACAGGAUUAGAUACCCCUGUAGUC
rnacentral:rRNA from 1 species